UGUCUGGGAAAGAUGAGCUGGAAGAGCUAGGCUCGCCCUCUGGACAAUAGGUAGUGCUGAGGGUAAAAGACUGCAAGUGUUUGGAUUUGGGGCAGUGCUCUUGCCCAGCUAAUGAUGGACUGCACUAAGCUUCUGCUUUUCCAUUUGAGAUAAUCUUCCACUCCUUGCCAAAACCAAAAAACGAAAAACAAAACAAAAACAAAACAGAUUAUCAGCUAGAUGUAUGUUGAUUCUUUGAAUAAAUCUUGAAAUAGGAUCAUUUGCGGACUGUUCUAAUCAUCUAUGCUGGGGCCUGAACAGAACCAUGGGAAUUUGAACCCUGAAGGGCAUCUUCUUUCUGUGAAUUGGGGAGUAGUUGCAUCAGGGUUUGAUACAUGGGGGUGAUCCUAGGAGGACAAAUGACUGUUAAGGCACCACUGAAAUGACCAGUGGCUUGGACUAAGUGAAAAGCACCAUUUGAUUUCCUUUAUCAGUAGAGAGACCUUUCUCCUCCCUGCUUCAUUAGUGACAUUUUUCUUGCUGGUGUCAGUGCCUGGGAGUGAGCUCCGGUGGUAACAUGUGUUCUCUCCCUUCCUGGCAGCUGGCUCUGCUUCAGAUAGUCUUCAUAAUUUGGGAGAGCACUGCAUUCUUUCUGAAAGUUUGCUGGUAUAUUCCCAGAGAAAGAAAAGCUUUCUAUCCACACAGCUGACAUUGUGCUCUGAGCAAUGUUGCUGUAGCUGCAGCCAGGGACAGAUGAGGCCCCGAGAUGUGUCUCAAUUGAAACCUCUCUGUAUGUUACAGAACAUUCACUGGCUUGGACUCAGGAGGCUGUUUCAUUUGAAUGUCUGCAUCGUUAGGAUGAUUGGAGACAGUAUUGUUUAGGGGUUAAAAGCCUUCCACGUGGGCUGAUUGACACAAUAAUCCAUGAGGGCGGAGGCAGAAUCUGUGCUUCUCCCACCCUGGCCUGGGUUCUGUACUAGCUAAGGCAUGGGUCGUCAGAACCCACAUUUGCCUCGUUUCCCACUAAUCACAGGGGAAUCAUUCAUCUGCAAGCAAGAUAUAUGUGAGGUGUUCUUUCUGGGGUCACAUCUAACUGAACCCUCUUCUACAAAUGAAAUGAUUUAUUCUAUAGAUAGCCUACAGCGACUUUGGUUAGAAAUUAUUUGCAAGCAGCAAAAACAUAUUUUGUGAAUUCAUUUUCUAGUUCUGAGUUGGAGGAAGUAGGAGGCCAAAGAAUGCUUGGAGAUCCAUACUGCUAAGUUAGACACAGUCAUCUGAUGGGAUGGGAGUGUCGUACAACCUUGUGCAAUGCUUUAGAUAGGCAAAUUGGGUAAAUGGGACUGGCUCUUGGAAGUUGGUCUAAUAUUCUUUGGAUUGCAGUAAUUUUCUCUUAAACAGAGAUCCUCACAUAUCACACAGUCUUGAUGAAAAUAUUCUUCCUAGAACACUUUGAGGCUCACAUUCUCGAUGUACUUGAACUCUAGAUUUAGUUUCUCCUUUAGCUCUCUGCAGGAAUUGACAUUGGCCAACAGCUUGCAGAUGCCUUUUGUGAGGUGAUAAAUUUUUUUCUUUUUAAAAUUCAACAGCAGAACAUAUCCAAGAUAGGUUUGGUCAGAUGUCGUUCUCACAGAUAUCUGGUAGGGGAAGUACAAAGAGCUGCCUCAACACAGAGGAAGGCAGUGUGGGCAGGGGUUGCUAGGAGCCCAGCGGCAGGGCUCUGCUUCACUGUCUUCUGACCUGCAUUUCUCUGUGGCUGGGCUGUCAUCUGGUUGGGGUGGGGCUUCAGGUUGGAAUACACUGCAUCUCUCGGGCAACUCUUCACGAGGAAGAACUCAUGGGGAGGGGUUGCAGAGCUCUUCGAUUCUUUCUUUCCUCCCCCAAGACAGGGUUUCUCUGUGUAGCCCUGGCUAUCCUGGAUCUUACUCUGUAGAUCAGGUUGACCUCAGAUUCACAGAGAUCUGCCUGCCUCUGCCCCCGAGUGCUGGGAUUAUAUGUGCGCCACCACUGCCAGGCUGAGCCUUUAAUUCUUGUGACAAGGGUGCAAUGUCUCGAAAUGAUUUGUUCAGAUUCCUUGGGAUAGUUGUUCCCAGUGAGUGGGUAUGGUGCUGCAGUUUCCAGAACUGAUCGUAACUGGUUGUCAUCCUUAAUAGUGCUAAGUAUUCGAGCCCCAGACUCAAGUUCCGCUUCCCUAGCACUGAUAAGGACAUGAUGUUAACUUAAUUUCCUGUGUCUGAAUUCGUUACUCUUAUAGUUUUGUAAUUAAGCCCACUUCUGAGAUGGCUGGUGACUAUUUUGAGGUGAAUGGCCUUUGGGUUGUUCUUCUCUGUCUAGAUAGGUUAAGACUGUAGAUACCACAAACUAAGAUUAUUAAAGGUUUCCUGGGGGCAGCAGAACUGUGGGGUGAGGAACUAGGAAGGCUAAGAAAGCCAUUUGUCCUUUUAUUCUGGAGAACUAAAGGUGGCUCCAAGCUUACAGUUCCGUCCUCUGCCCCCAGUGCCGUGUCAUGGCUCUGGUGUCGUCUUCUCCCACUUUAGCUUUAGCUUUUCUUAAAGGUAUUGUGGUAUUUGGCUUUGGCCACAGGAACCAGAUCACUGAAUGGGAAAGAUAUCAUCCCUGCCUCUACAGGCCACUGUUGAGUCCUACACAGCUGUCCCUAGUGGGUCACACAGAAAAUAGCAGAAAUGGCCCUGUGUCAACCCUGGGAGAACUGUCUCAGGCCUCUUCUAUUUAUCUGCUUUUGCAGGAUUUUUCUAGAUUUAGAGGGCAUUCUUCCUGUUUUCAGCAAAUGUUUUCAUUUUUCUUCCUCAAUUGCUAAUGGUCACAUCAGGCCAGUGUCCCUGAAAACUUUGAAGCUGACCUGACCAAGGCCUUUUGGGGGAUCUACAGGGAUGAAGAAAGGUGGUUCCUUAAUCCAUGUCUCUACUUGGGGCUGAGAGGCCUGGUUAGGGAUUCAGUGUCAGCUGAAAAUGGCAGGGAGACACAGGGGUCACUCCUAGACAGGUUAAGAUGUCGAUAUCACAAACCAGAGUUGGUGAGAGUUGCCUGGGCUGAGGAGGGCAUGUGGGGUAUGAAGCAGGGAAGGCAAGAAAGCCCUGUGUGGUUCCCACGGGCAUUGACUGGUUAAACAACUAGCACAUGAGUGGGGAAAGGAUACAUACUGGCCUGGAGACUAGGGUGGUGGAAGGCAUGAGGUUCCCAAUCAGUGUCCUCACUUUUUUUUGGCACUGGCACCUCUCAGGAUCCAAAAUAUUGCUUCCAUGAAGAAUAUCUGCAAUAAAUCCGAGCCAGGUUGGCAGGUGGAAGCACAAGGCUUCAGAACAUAGUUGAAUGACAUUGAUAUCCUGGAUACUUCUAUUCUACCUGCAGGUGAUCACAACAGAAACAUGAAGGAAACCUUGAAGUGCACUGUAUACAUGCAUGGACACACUCAGCCACCUUCUCUCAAGAGGUUUUCUCAGCCCCUUCUACACUGCAGCCCAGGUCAAACUUUCAACCUUCCGUGGAGAGUGACCAGCUGUGACAUUCUGGUUGUGGCCUCUCAGGCUUUCCUGCCACACCUGGUGUCUGCUCACUGCUUUCUUCACCCCAUUGGGAGCAUCACUGAGUUGGGUCCAGUCCUCGUGUCCUGUCUUCUUUUCUCUUCUUGUCCCUCUGUCCAUGCUGAUUCAGUCUAUACUCAGAUCCUCCUAGUUGUUGCCUGGAAUACCGCAGUUGCUUCUUACCUGGCUCCCUGAGAUUCUCAAAGCAUCUCUCUCUCACCAUGUUAUUUCCAGGCUUAAAAUGCUCCCUGGCCCCAUGGUGCCCUCAUGAUGCGGUCUGAGCUCUGCAGCAGAUCUGCAGGGCUCCUGAGACUCAGCUACUGUGCUCCCUGGUCCUGUCCACUGUGCUCCCUACUCUGCCUCUGGACUGUGGCUAGAUCGCUCCUCCUGGGCCAUGGCUCCUCCUCCUGCCCCUCCCAGGUUAGGUGCCCUCUGUUUGUCCACCCAGGGCUCUGCAGACCUCUGUCCAGCAGGGGUGUUCUUCUGCUGUGUCUGUGUCCCUGCAGCUGGUAUCUGCAUAUCCUUGUGGGUUUCCUUUGCUGUGUACACAGCAGUUCCUGGGUGCACUGGGGCUGUAGCUGAAAGAUUUGGCAGAUGCAUUAAGCGCGGGCUGGUAUGUUCAGCAUGGCUGGCCACUCUCCUGGACUGUUCUUUAUUGAUCUCCUCUUUCUCCCAAAACCCUGUGCCUGAGUUCACUACUUCUGCUUAGGGUACUAGUGGCCGCUAGGCUUCCAGAAGGAAAACCUUAGUAAUCUACAUUUCUGCCUCACAGACUGCUGCCACCAAGUGUUGAUGUUCCUUUCCUAUUAUGCCUUUUCCUUUCCUCUUGACUUCAUGGUCUGGCUUCACCCUUCACUUGGAAAAUUCUCAAGUCUAGGCUUGGGAUGUGCUGUAGCCCACACUGGAGUAGGAUUGUGCAAACAUGCAAAGCGAGGCUGGGUAUGACCCAGUGAUAGGAAGUUUGCCUGGAGUGCUUGUCAAGGCCUUGGGUUCCAUCCCUAAUAUCACAAAUUAUUAACAGCAGCAACAACAAAGCCGUGCUGACAAUUUUCCUCCUUGACUUUUCCAUCUUGUUAGGACUGCACCCUUGGCUGGUUGUUCCUCUUGUGUCCUGCCACCAGCCCAAAUUUGACCUUCCCUGACCUUAUCCACACUUAAGUGACUAGGCCCCAGGUGCUGAUCCCUGCUAGUUUCAGGCUUGGAGUAGCCUUUCCCUGUCUUCACUGAGGAUUUGAACUUCAUGGCUGCUAUCAAGCCGCACGUUCCUGACUAGCCCCAGGAGCACCAAGAGCUCCUCUGCGGUACUGAGGGCUCACCUCACCAACACCGGUCCAUUCAUCUAGCCCUGUGUGCAAGUGGUAUUCUAUGGAUUUAAGGCAAGAGUGAGCCAUCCAGGAAAUUUCCUGCUCCUAGACCUCUGCAGUGUUGUGGAGAUUAAUUCAGCUGACUGUCUUCUUCCCUGAAUGAGGAGUGUCUCAACGGUAAGCGGCCCUCACUGCCCACCAUGGCUGCCCUCCAGUUAAGUUGACCUGAGACCCUCCAGAACACACCAGCCUUAAGUUUGGGCCUGGGCCCAUGGAAUGAUGGUGUGAGCCCUUCUGUACUGCAGGCUGCUCCCAAAUGCCUCAGCCUAGGCUUGGCCCCAGCAGUCAGGGCUCUUACUAGCACGACUGAGUCCUCACAGAAGGCAUUACAGAUUCCAAGUGCUUCUCUCACCCUGUGUUAUGAGUCUGAUGCUGGACCUCUCUGCACCCCUGACACUCUAGGGGUAGGGCAAGAGUGUGGCCAACUCCAACUUCUUCUGGACCCUGGAGUUUUCUGCUUCCCGGAUAGCCAGCGAGUCCUGGACAGGUAAAACAAGCACCUGUCAUGCAUACUGGACAGUCAAGCCCAAGCUCCAGUGAUCCUAUGUUGAAGUUAUGGACAUCUACCAGAUCUGACAGACUCCCAGAGAAGAAGGGCGGCCUCAAGGGUCUGUUUGAAUAGACAUUCCCCAAUGCUGUGGUCUUCAUGAAGUGCUGGGUAAUCAUCAACAGAGACUUGCAGGGAAGCUCUCUGUGCAUUGCACACAUCUUUGAGGUGUUAACCAAGUGGCCUGGAGCUCUACACCCUAUCUGUGAGCUGAUGACAGAACGGGAGAAUCAGAGAAGACUUAGAACCCCUGCAGGGACAACCCCUGGAAGUGGCCAGAAUACUGAGCAGACUAGCCCCGACUUCCCACCAGCAAACUAUCUGAUCCUGCAAUGCCAGACCCCCAGUAAAGUCAAGGUACCUUCCAUUUUUUUCAGAGGAACUGUCUGAGCUGAAAGAACUGAGGAGAAGGACAUAUCUGAGAGCCCCAGUGGACUCAGCCAAGAACAUUACCAGACAUUGGCAAUCAACACCCGAGGGCCCCUAUGCUGCCUCCCUAACCUGUACCUGGUGCUGCUGGUUACACUGGGCAAUUGAAGACAAAUGGCAUACAGGCCAUCAACCUGUGACGCUGUACAUGAUUGUGUGUGUACUAUCUAGUCAAGCCUGUGUCCAUGGCCCUAAGAUAGCCAUGCUUAUCAAGGCUGGAGUUUAGGUGUGGCGGCAACAGUUACUGAAAGGUAGCUUGCCUCUGCCUGCAGUGGUUUCCUCUGUGAUCAUGACUGGGAUAUUGGCUCCAAAUCAAUGCAGGGAGGGCAGAAGGUGACCAUGCCAAGGCUGGAUAGGGACAUUAAGAUAAGUGAUGGGACAUUAAUAUAUCAGCAGCCACAUGUGUGGCAAAGGGCUUGCAAGUUAAAUACCAUGGUGGUCCAAUGAUUUCUAAGUCCUGCCCAGUUCUUGACUGUAUGUCCUGAUUCAAUAAUUCAUAGCUGAGGAACCUAUUAUCAGUGACUUUCUGGGAGUCAGUCCCAGGCCAACUCAUGCUGUGCUCCCUGAUGUGGGUCAGGAACGAAGUGAACCUCCAUGGGUGCCCUGGCAUUUGGAGGGCAUUUAGGUUCAGCAGUUCUGGCUACAGUGCCAGGAUUUCUAGCUGCCUGAGCUUGGCAAACUCCUUCUCCCACCAAGAACCACAUGCCUUCAACCCUUUUCUCUGCACGGUACCUGACUUCCAAGAUCUGUUUUUUUUUUUUCUUCCAACAGGAGAGGGUGUCUGUAGAAUGCUUGGUGCAAACUGCACCACAGUGGUCUGAUCUCCUCCCCUCCCUCUCCUCCCCCUGGAGGACUUGGGUCUGACUCUCUCUUGCUCCUCAUGGCUCUCUGGUAUCUUCUUCCCCAGUAGGAGCUCUAGUUCAAGCAAUCUGGAGCAGAAGUGGAGGAUCCAACCUGGGAGUGUCUGUGUGUGCCCAGCUCUCACAGAGGGGUUCUGGGAAUGCAGAAAGGAGCAGGGCAGCAUAGAGGUGAUGUUGCAGAGUGGAGGUGAGGAGCAAGGGCUCUCCAGUCAGACCACACUAUAACUCAGUGUGCGGCCUUAGAGGAAGUCACUUAAUUGCACUAUAACUCAGCUUCCCUCUCUGUAAAAUAGGUAUAAAAUUCAUCAACCUCGUGAAUGAACGGUGCAUUCCAGUACUCAGCACAUCCACCAGUUCCACUAAAUACGUAUUGGCACUAACUCCAACUCCAGCUCCAACGGAGGAGCUGGGAUAGGGAGCUGUGCAGUAGGGUGCAGUGGUCCCCUCAACAAUUGGCCAUCUCUCCCACAGAUGGGAAAUAUCAGAGGGUGGAAGUCUUGGAAUAAGUAUUCCUUGAGGGAUGGGGAAUAUUUAUGUUAUUUCUGUAUUUUCAGGCACUGGAGGUGGUUCCCAGAACUUGGCACAGGCUGGACAAGUGUUCCUUGUGUAAGCUAUAAGCAACAGUCCCAGUAGUUCUUAGAUGAGCAGAUGGGAGGAGAAAAGCGAGCCUCCCCAAUCCCUGUAAUCCAUGUUCUUGACCACCCCAACUCUUACCCCACCCUCUGCAUCAGAAAACAACUUAAUGAAUUCCAGCUGAGCCUCAUUCUCAGCCAUACUGUAGCAUCUAUACCUGGAGAUCUGCUCUCAGUGGGCAGACAGGAAACUACCACCACCGUGCCUGCAUUAAACUCAACGCCAGUGAAAUGGGCCUGCCUGCGAAGAGAGGAGUCUGUUUGGAGUCCUCAAACAGCCUCAGCCUUCUUCUCCCUACCCUUCCUAUCCUGGCUGGGUGGGAGUUCAGGAAGCAUCGUGGCCUGCCAGGCUACCUCAUACAGGCUUGGACGCAGCCCCUUGGCUGCGGGAAAAGGACAGACACAACCCUUUCAUAUCAGCAUGAGAGGUAGGUUGAUAGUGAUGUUGGAUGCUAGUGUUGGCCACAAGCUUCCCCCUCCAUCACGUGAUCCCAGUGGCCUCACAGAGCUUUGCUUACUUAGAAGCCUACUCUCCAAAGAGUCACCAUGGAAAGAACCAGCUUUAUCUGUCUCUCUGCUGGUGUAGUGCUACCUGGGCCAGUGGGACGGGGAGCUGUUGCUGCUGUUCCACCUGUUUCUCUCCACACACCUGCCUCCAGCCUUCCUGGCUCAUCAGCUGCCCCUAACCUCCUGCAUUUGGCAUUAGCACUUCCGGCCCCAUGAACCUUUCUGUUUCCCAUUGACCACCUACAGCUAAUUUUCCAAGAGACCACUAGUGGUUACUGCUGGGGAAUGCAGACCACCAGACCCUGAAUUUCCUGUGAACAACUUGUUUUCCUCUACUCUGAGCAGCCUGCAGCUGCUCAGAGCAUAAGACCCUGAUGGCAGGGGAGUGGUUUCUGGUGGAUCUGCAGCUGAAAGAUCCCGAGAGCUGGGGCGUGGCCAGAGCCCUAUAUAAGCUGCCCCUGAACACAAUAAAGAGGGCAUUUUUAUUUCAAGGA